UUCAUAAGCCAUUCGUUCAUUCUAUGUUCAUGAGUUCAAACACUUUUGGAGAGUCUCACUUGAGUUCACACUCCGUUGCGCCAGAAAUCGCCUCUGGCGAAUGUGGAGGACCAAACUUCCAAAACCUUAUGUCAAAAUGCUCAACGAAACAUUGAGAUGUAUGGGGUAAUGAACACUCUCAUCCCUAUGCCAGGCCAAACUCAAGACCAACCAUCAAGGAAGUAACUGAUUCAAUGGUGUUCAACAUUUGAAAUAACUUAUGCAUUGGAGCCUUCUACAUAUAAUGUCAAUGAACCUUCAAAAAGUAGCCUUUAGGGCUAGAAUACACACCUAGUGAGAGUGAACUAAGCAUGGCAAAGUGCAUGGAGACAUGGAAAAGACAUGACACAUGGAGACACCAUUAAGACUUGUGAAGAAUUUUGAACAAAAGUGGGAUACAUUAUGAACGAAGAUGAAGUAAGAUUAAGGUCUAGGUAUUAGGAUUAGAAAGUUGACUUUGGUCAACUGUUUGACCAAAAAAGUCAAUCGUUGACCAAAAGUCAGUUGUAGGUCAAAAAUGUGAUUUUUGUGUAAUUUGAUUUGGAUUCUUUUGUAAUGUAAUUUUGACAUGUAAUGUAACUAGCUUCCUUGAAUGGCAUAUAUAACUUAUUCUUCCAAAA